rnacentral:rRNA from 1 species
GACGAACCGUGCGGACGUUGUUCGGAAUCAUUGGGCUUAAAGGGCGCGUAGGCGGGUCGGCAAGUCAGGGGUGAAAGCCCGCGGCUCAACCGCGGAAGGGCCUUUGAUACUGCCGGUCUCGAGGGAGGCAGGGGAGCGCGGAACUUCCGGUGGAGCGGUGAAAUGCGUAGAUAUCGGAAGGAACGCCGGUGGCGAAAGCGGCGCUCUGGUCCUCUUCUGACGCUGAGGCGCGAAAGCCAGGGGAGCAAACGGG